rnacentral:rRNA from 1 species
GACGAACGCUGGCGGCGUGCUUAACACAUGCAAGUCGAGCGGUAAGGCCCUUUCGGGGUACGACGAGCGGCGAACGGGUGAGUAACACGUGGGUGACCUGCCCUCAGCUCUGGGAUAAGCCUGGGAAACCGGGUCUAAUACUGGAUAUGACUCCAUGACGCAUGUUGUGGGGUGGAAAGCCUUGUGCGGCUGAGGAUGGGCCCGCGGCCUAUCAGCUUGUUGGUGGGGUGANGGCCUACCAAGGCGACGACGGGUAGCCGGCCUGAGAGGGCGACCGGCCACACUGGGACUGAGACACGGCCCAGACUCCUACGGGAGGCAGCAGUGGGGAAUCUUGCGCAAUGGGCGAAAGCCUGACGCAGCGACGCCGCGUGAGGGAUGACGGCCUC